UGCAGCAUGAGGUCAAUUUCUCCCAUUCAAGAUCACUCCACAAUCAGGGCCACAUUUAUGUGGGACAGAUCAAUCAUGUGCCUGUGGAAAUUUGAAGAGACAGUUAACACAAGCUCUUACGAUAGCAAUUCACCGAGAACACACGCACACAGCAAAUAAACGGAAGACAAGGAUAAGCAGCUUAAGAGAUCUACAGUAAUCCCAAAGUCCCAUUCAAGAUGUCUGCUGGGGGUCACCAAAGUCAAGAGAACACCCAGGACUACUUAGGCUGAAGCUAGAGCAACACGGCAACAGUGCUAGAGCUGUCCUCACACUCAGUGCAGAAAGCGUAGAAAGUGAGAAUCCUCACAAGACCUGACUAGAAACGCCAGCUUUCGGCAAGCACCUGGGGCCACAGUGCGUUAAUGGCGUUAAAAUCUGGACAGUCUGGGCCAUUGUGCAACUCGGAAUCUUCAACUAGUACUUAUUUUGACUCUCUGGUUGCAAUAACUAUAUGUCAACACAUCUAUAAUCCUCUAUUAUUAAUUUUGUCCAACAAAUAACCCACACUACAAUCAAUACUCAGAAAGCACCUUUUUAGACAGUCUCAAUACACACCGCAGCUAGCUCAGUUGUGCUCUCUUUGUGAGGGAUUACGGGUGUACACCGAUGGGGCAGCUAAAGCCAAAGAGAAAGAGAAAGUGUUUCCAAACAGCUAACAGAGUAGUAGUUAAAGCCUGAAGAUUAAUCUCUCAAUAUAAAAGACUAAAGUGUGGGGUUGGGGAUUUAGCUCAGUGGUAAGAGCGCUUGCCUAGGAAGCGCAAGGCCCUGGGUUCGGUCCCCAGGUCCGGGGGGGAAAAAAAAAAAAAGAAAAGAAAAAAAAAAUCUAUGUAAUUGUAAAAGACUAAAGUAAGUCCAGCGACCUCUAAGAUAAAGGUGGCUGUAAUUAAACUCAAAAUACCUC